UUUACAUUUAAAAUACAGUCGAGUUGUAAAAAAUAUACAUAAAACCACUUUUUUUCAACAAAAAUACCAAUAAUCGCAUGUAAAAUUGAAUACUAUUGAUCCAGGCCAUCGAUGUUUGCCAAAUCUUAAAACCAUCGAUAGUAUCGAUAGUGCUAUCGAUCGUUUUGACCAACCCUACCAGGAUUUUUAUGUGCGAUUAGUACUCAAAGUGGCUUAUCAUUCACAUUUUGUGGUUAGUAAAAAUUUUGACCUUUGAACGAUUGGAUUUUUCUUGAUAAUCGCGAAUCCCUUGUAAUGCGUCUUAGGCUGGGUGCGUACAUAAAUUAGCAGUAAGACGACAUCAGACUCCCCGCUCUUGAAAACUUUUAUCCGGCCCUUUAACAAACCCAGGCCCGCAAAAUCCCCGCAUUGCAAGAAAGGGAAAGAAGUUUGAGGGCCUCUUUUGGCCAACUGGUGCGAUGCGGCAUUGACUGAUUAUGGCUGCCAGCAGGCAAAUAAACACAAAAAGAUCAUAAGACUCCUCACACCCGGUUUGCCGGCCACACAAUACCCUCGAUAAAGUCCAGGAAGGAGCUCACUCGUGUGUAGAGGCCCGGGGUCUUGGUGCCGCAGCCGAGGCCCGCGACGAUUACGCCCAG